rnacentral:rRNA from 1 species
AUUGAACGCUAGCGGGAUGCUUUACACAUGCAAGUCGAACGGAGUGGCGGACGGGUGAGUAAUAUAUCGGAAAGUGCCUCGUAGCGGGGGAUAACUACUCGAAAGAGUGGCUAAUACCGCAUACUAUUGUAGCGGCCGAUAUCGGAUUAGCUAUUUGGUGGGGUAAAGGCUCACCAAGGCAACGAGCCGUAGCUGGUUUGAGAGGACGACCAGCCACACUGGGACUGAGACACGGCCCAGACUCCGACGGGAGGCAGCAGUGGGGAAUGUUGGACAAGGGGUGAAAGCCUGAUCCAGCCAUCCCGCGUGUAUGAUGAAGGCCUGCGGGUUGUAAAGUACUUUUGGCAGAGAAGCGUUAUCGGCAGAAUAAGCACCGGCUAACUACGUGCCAGCAGCCGCGGUAAUUC